rnacentral:misc_RNA from 1 species
GAGGACAGCUCUUCACAUUGCAGCUGCUCGAGGCCUUGUACGUGUGAUGAAUAAGAUUAUUUCUAAAUGUCCAGAUUGUUGUGAACUCACUGAUAUUAGAGGAUGGAACAUUCUGCACUAUGCAGUGAUCAGCAAACGUGAUGGGGUAUUGAAAGAAGUUCUUCAAUAUUCAUCAUUGAUUUACCUUUUAAAUGGGAAAGAUGGUAAAGGGAACACACCUCUCCAUUUACUUUUAGCUUCUCGCCCCUAUUUGCCUUCUUUCAUACGCGAUGGAGAUACCGAUGUUUUCAAGUUCUUGAAGCAGAAAAUAUAUUAUGGAAAUUAUGAUGUUUCCUCAAGACAGGAAGAAAUUGUAGAAUGGAUGCAAGACCUUGGAAGUGGGCCAUUUGGGAAGAUGGUUGUUGGGAAAAAUUGGGAUGAAGAAAGGAAAGAAAAAGAAGAAAAGGUCAUUCCAGAAUUAGAGAAAGCCAAAGACUCCCAUUUGGUGGCUGCAGCAUUAGUAGCAACAGUAACUUUCGCAGCAGCAUUCACUUUACCAGGUGGUUAUGUAAGUGAUGAAAAUGAAUCAAAACGAGGAACUCCAAUUCUAAGCAGAAAUUCAGCAUUUAAAGCAUUUGUAAUAACAGAUGCUAUAGCAAUGGUGCUGUCUACUUCUUCAGUCUUCAUCCACUUUAUCAUGUGCAAGGUUGGUGAUAGACUCCAUAAGGCGUGAUCAGACUGAAAGGAGUGGUACCUCAAUACCCAGAUCCCUGAGGCGAAUCUGGCGUCAAAGUCCCUUUUAUUUGUCUUGUGGCAUUGACUGGUGGAUGCUGAAAUAUAAGCUCCGGCAUUGGUGGCGGCUUUUGACUACAAAAGAUUCUCAUAAUGUGUAAUUUACUAAUCUAAGAUUGGAUGAUUUUAAUUUUAUGAGUUUGUUCAAAUGUCUAAUGAAAACUUAUUAUUAGUAUUUUUUUUUUCUUUUGUGAAUGGAUUUUCUUUUUA